rnacentral:rRNA from 1 species
AGGUUGGCGGCCAUAGCGGAGGGGCCAUACCUGGUCUCGUUUCGAUCCCAGAAGUGAAGUCCUCCUGCGUUUUGUUGUUGUACUGUGGACGAGAGUCUAUGGGAAGCUCAUAACGCUGCCGGCCUC